GAUCUGUGAAGCAGGUGCCGUUCAGGAACGCGGUGCCCAGUGGAGAUCUUCGUGGGUUAAGAUGAUAACCAUAAACCUGAUAGUCGCAUGAGCGGCGAAAGAAAACAUCUGAGA
rnacentral:sRNA from 12 species